CNGUAACGAUGUCGAUUUGGAGGUUGUGCCUUGAGGCGUGGCUUCCGGAGCUAACGCGUUAAAUCGACCGCCUGGGGAGUACGGCCGCAAGGUUAAACUCAAAUGAAUUGACGGGGGNCCNCCCCAGCGGUGGAGCAUGUGGUUUAAUUCGAUGCAACGCGAAGAACCUUACCUACUCUUGACAUCCAGAGAACUUAGCAGAGAUGCUUUGGUGCCUUCGGGAACUCUGAGACAGGUGCUGCAUGGCUGUCGUCAGCUCGUGUUGUGAAAUGUUGGGUUAAGUCCCGCAACGAGCGCAACCCUUAUCCUUUGUUGCCAGCGAUUCGGUCGGGAACUCAAAGGAGACUGCCGGUGAUAAACCGGGGGAAGGUGGGGAUGACGUCAAGUCAUCAUGGCCCUUACGAGUAGGGCUACACACGUGCUACAAUGGCGUAUACAAAGAGAAGCGACCUCGCGAGAGCAAGCGGAACUCAUAAAGUACGUCGUAGUCCGGAUUGGAGUCUGCAACUCGACUCCAUGAAGUCGGAAUCGCUAGUAAUCGUAGAUCAGAAUGCUACGGUGAAUACGUUCCCGGGCCUUGUACACACCGCCCGUCACACCAUGGGAGUGGGUUGCAAAAGAAGUAGGUAGCUUAACCUUCGGGAGGGCGCUUACCACUUUGUGAUUCAUGACUGGGGUG
rnacentral:rRNA from 1 species